rnacentral:lncRNA from 1 species
UGAGAGAGCAUUAUAGAACAAUACAUCAGCCAAGUUUUUAUUAUCAAUAAGAACUCUUUUUACAUCAUAUUUUGCUAUCGUCAUAGAGACGACAAUAACAUUGUUGUGAGGGUUUUGGAUCUCCUUUAUAUCAUUUUUAGAAAAAGAAAUAACAUCUUCAAUUCUCUGCCUCUUUGAGAGCGAGUCAUCAGUGCCAGGUAAGAUGUCGAAAAUCAUAUUGAUAACACCAGC